GCGGUCGUGCAAUGUGGUGUUCGGGAGGGCUCUGUCCAUGUCCGGCUUUGGUCCAAGUCUCCUGGAAAGGAGUUCCGUGGAGGGUGACAGGCCCGUGCGACCAAUAGCCGUGUUCGCGGACGAGUCCUCCUUCGAGUCGGGUUGUUCGCUAAUGCAGCCCUAAGCAGGUGGUAAGCUCCAUCUAAAGCUAAAUAUAACCACGAGUCCGAUAGUCAACAAGUACAGUGAUGGAAAGUUGAAAAGUACUCUGAAGAGAGAGUCAAAUAGCCCGUGAAGCUGCCAGUAUGGGAUUAAGCGCACGUGCGGCGCGUGUCGUCGGACAAAUAGGCGACUGUUGUGCGUACGGCCGGUGGACGUGUGCGUCUUUACAGGCGUGCCGUCUGCUGGUAGUGGUGCGUGCCGCAGAACGCUUCCCUUUGUUCGGCAUUGACAGGUCGGGGCUUCGUUGUCCGGUCUUAUUGCCGACAGUGAUCCACAGAGCCGUGCCGGGCGGUUGUCGACUUCGGUCGAUGGCCGUGCUCCGCUGAACGUGGUCCUUCGUGGACGCAGCGGCCGGCUUGGUCUGCGGUGCAAUGCUGUCGUUUUGCGAACGACUGGGCGACGGCCAACGCAUUCGAGCACUCGUUGUUCGGCUCGACCUUUGCGCUGUCACGUGCGGCCCGUCUUGAAACACGGACCAAGGAGUCUAACAUGUGAGCGAGCGAUUGAGAUUGUCGAAUCUCAAACGCGCAAUGAAAGUGAAGUGUCGUCUGACGGCACGAGCGGUGAUCUGUUGUCCACUUUGUUGGCGGCAGCGCAACCGCGGGCCGCGCCAUGGGCUGGCUUGCUUUUCGGAGCACUGCUCAGGCGCGGACCUAGAGCCCAC
rnacentral:rRNA from 1 species